AGGUUUUGGAUGGAAGUAAACAAGGCCACUGUUGUUCUUACUGCUACAGGUACUAAACAGUGCUUCAGAUCGCAAUAGAUGUUUUUUCUAGUGUUGUUCAGGGCACCAAUACUAUCGUGCACUGAUUGGAGUAGUGAUUUUACUGACGACCCUUUUCUUCCCGGACCCGGUGAUAAUACAGAAUACUGGACCAUACUAGUUCUUGAUCAGUGAUCACCGCUGAAUACCUAGUGUCUUCC
rnacentral:lncRNA from 1 species